rnacentral:rRNA from 1 species
CAGUCGCCGCGGGAAUACGUAGGGUGCAAGCGUUAAUCGGAAUUACUGGGCGUAAAGCGUGCGCAGGCGGUUAUAUAAGACAGAUGUGAAAUCCCCGGGCUCAACCUGGGAACUGCAUUUGUGACUGUAUAGCUAGAGUACGGCAGAGGGGGAUGGAAUUCCGCGUGUAGCAGUGAAAUGCGUAGAUAUGCGGAGGAACACCGAUGGCGAAGGCAAUCCCCUGGGCCUGUACUGACGCUCAUGCACGAAAGCGUGGGGAGCAAAUAGGAUUAGAUACCCCUGUAGUCCCUGUCUCUUAUAA